rnacentral:rRNA from 1 species
GCAUCCUACGGGGGGCAGCAGUGAGGAAUAUUGGUCAAUGGGCGCGAGCCUGAACCAGCCAAGUCGCGUGAGGGAUGACGGCCCUACGGGUUGUAAACCUCUUUUGUCGGGGAGCAAAUUCCGCCACGUGUGGCGGAGUCGAGAGUACCCGAAGAAAAAGCAUCGGCUAACUCCGUGCCAGCAGCCGCGGUAAUACGGAGGAUGCGAGCGUCAUCCGGAUUUAUUGGGUUUAAAGGGUGCGCAGGCGGGCUGUUAAGCCGGCGGUAAAAAUUCAGGGCUCAAACCUGUCGAGCCGUCGGAACUGG